rnacentral:rRNA from 1 species
CGCCCUUGAGUUUGAUCAUGGCUCAGAGUGAACGCUGGCGGUAGGCCUAACACAUGCAAGUCGAACGGCAGCACAGAGGAGCUUGCUCCUUGGGUGGCGAGUGGCGGACGGGUGAGGAAUACAUCGGAAUCUACUCUGUCGUGGGGGAUAACGUAGGGAAACUUACGCUAAUACCGCAUACGACCUACGGGUGAAAGCAGGGGAUCUUCGGACCUUGCGCGAUUGAAUGAGCCGAUGUCGGAUUAGCUAGUUGGCGGGGUAAAGGCCCACCAAGGCGACGAUCCGUAGCUGGUCUGAGAGGAUGAUCAGCCACACUGGAACUGAGACACGGUCCAGACUCCUACGGGAGGCAGCAGUGGGGAAUAUUGGACAAUGGGCGCAAGCCUGAUCCAGCCUUUUUUUGUGGGUGAAGAAGGCCUUCGGGUUGUAAAGCCCUUUUGUUGGGAAAGAAAUCCAGCUGGCUAAUACCCGGUUGGGAUGACGGCACCCCAAGAAUAAGCACCGGCUAACUUCGUGCCAGCAGCCGCGGUAA